rnacentral:rRNA from 1 species
UACGGGGGGAGCAAGCGUUGUUCGGAUUACUGGCGUAAAGGGCGCGUAGGCGGUCAGCACAAGUCAGUUGUGAAAUCUCCGGGCUUAACUCGGAAAGGUCAACUGAUACUGUGCGACUAGAGUGCAGAAGGGGCAACUGGAAUUCUCGGUGUAGCGGUGAAAUGCGUAGAUAUCGAGAGGAACACCUGCGGCGAAGGCAGCUCGCUGGGACGUGACUGACGCUGAGACGCGAAGCGUGGGGAGCAAACAGG